UCCAGACUCCUACGGGAGGCAGCAGUGGGGAAUAUUGGGCAAUGGGCGCAAGCCUGACCCAGCAACGCCGCGUGAAGGAAGAAGGCUUUCGGGUUGUAAACUUCUUUUAAGAGGGAAGAGAAGAAGACGGUACCUCUUGAAUAAGCCACGGCUAACUACGUGCCAGCAGCCGCGGUAAUACGUAGGUGGCAAGCGUUGUCCGGAUUUACUGGGUGUAAAGGGCGUGCAGCCGGGCUGACAAGUCAGAUGUGAAAUCCCGCGGCUCAACCGCGGAACUGCAUUUGAAACUGUCAGUCUUGAGUACCGGAGAGGUCAUCGGAAUUCCUUGUGUAGCGGUGAAAUGCGUAGAUAUUAGGAGGAACACCAGUGGCGAAGGCGGUCAACUGGACAGCAACUGACGCUGAGGCGCGAAAGCGUGGGGAGCAAACAGGAUUAGAUACCCGAGUACC
rnacentral:rRNA from 1 species